rnacentral:rRNA from 1 species
UACGUAGGGUGCGAGCGUUAAUCGGAAUUACUGGGCGUAAAGUGUGCGCAGGCGACCGAGCAAGUCGAGUGUGAAAUCCCCGGGCUUAACCUGGGAACUGCAUCCGAUACUGGAUGGCUUGAAUCCGGGAGAGGGAUGCAGAAUUCCAGGUGUAGCGGUGAAAUGCUUAGAUAUGAUAUAGAACACCGAGUGCGAAGGCAGCUUACCAAGCCGUUACUGACACUGAUGCACGAAAGCGUGGGGAUCAAACAGG